UUUGGAGACGUAAGCUGACGUGGAAAUCUAUCCCCAUCCUUAGCAGGGAGGUGCUGGUCAUGUGACCCGAUGUUGAAAUUGACAAGCUGCGAGCUAGUCCGGGCCUUUUCCCCCCCCUUUCCUUUUUUUUUUUUCCUCCCCUCCCCUCCCUCCCGGCUUCCUUUCUUUGUAGCCACCUCAGGGGAAGCAACAGAUCGUCACUCGGUGUUCUCACCGAAAGCACGUAAUCGCCGGUGUAACUCAUGUUGGCUGGGGGGCCUCCCGGCGCGCGCGGAGAGGCUGGGGUGCGCCCCCAUGCAGCAUGCUUGUGCUCAAUUGCAGGGUCCUCGUUCUCGAGUGUGCAGAGGGCGGUGAGAGCUCAACUCUCGUCCCCACCUCCCACCCGCAGCUCCCCGGGUGGGUGAGGGAUGCCCUGGACUGGGGAUAGCCAGGUGGGAGUCCGUCGCUGUGUGGCCUGUGGUCUCGGAGUCUGUUCUCCUGGAGUCUCGCAUUUGCACCCCCUUCUUCGCAGUCCCCCUCCCAUAGACUUGCUCUGGGAAGCGCCUCUGCCUCCGACCCUAGCCGGAACCCCUUCGGGGCCAGAGUUUGAAGCCGUGGAUGUGCCUGCCUGGUGGCUUGUCCGAUUUGCACGGUGACUUGAUUACACUCUCUCAUUCAUGGUCACUUCCGAAGCGCUUUAGUGCCUUCCGUCCCUAAACCGCCAACAGCCAGAACGGCUUCUCCCCGCGGUUUGUCACUGAUCCGCAGGGCCCGGAAGGGCCUUCGUCUUACCCGGGAUCCACCUCUCCCCUCAUCUUCCCUGCCUGCCUCUUCAUCCCACCUUCUGUCCUUGGAGAAACCCCCUCCUCCUCGCUGCCUGCCGGGCUUCGGAGUGACUCGGCAGAGACAGAGGCACAGGGGCUGCCCUGCUGCUCACCGGUCCACCCAUCUGCCUGGUCUUCUGGAGCUGAGGACUCGGGAAACCAUGCAAUUGAGGCAAGCCUUGGGCUGCUUUAGAGGCGCUGACAUCCGAGGAGACUUCUCCUGGGAUUGAAGGAGCAAUGUUUGGAGGAAGCGAAAGAAAGGAAAGGACACAGAGCACAGAGCAGCCAGGCAGAGCCAGGAGCUGAGAAGGGCCCAGACCUGAGGCCUCCCAACAACUCUCUUCUUGGAAGGAUCUGGGAUGUUGCUGAAGGAAAAUAAAAAAAUAUGUAAAAAGAUAACCUUUUGUUUUUCCCUCUCCAGGAAAUAGCCAAAGUUAUUUACAUAUCUUGGGGAGAUUUAGAGUAUAAACUCUAAGAUCUUUGGUAUUUAAGUGUCAACAUCGAUUUAUUUAUUUAUUGCUGAGCUGACAGUAACUGACUCAAUAACAAAUCUAAUCAUGUAUUGCACUGGAAAAGAAAUAUUCUUAUUAUGUAUUUUCUCCAAAUAAUGGCCUACCAUUGCAUUUGAAUACCUGCUGUAAAUAUCAAUAAUAUGAAGUAAUUACUCUGUAGUCGAGUAAACUAAUUUAUUAGCAUUAAUGUUUAUGUCGCUCUCCACCUCCCCGCCCCCACCACCUUUACAAGGAUUUCUUAUCACAAAUCAAGCUACUUGGACACAUUGGUUUAAUGAACUCUUUAUUCAAGAUUUGCUACAAGAAUUUUCAUGUCCUUUGAAUCCCUGAGAACUGAACUUGAAAUUAUUUGUGCAUCUUCAGCUUGACAUAUUUGUCCACUGUGGCUUGUCCAGAGGGCAGCAGUGCUGUGAGUGAGAAGGUCCAGUGGGAAGGAAGGUUAUUGGAGAAGAGUAGCCUCAGACCUCCUAAAGCUGGGAAGCACAUUUACAGAAUUGCCCUGCAGCGAAAAAACUUCUAUUUCCAGCAGUGACCAACAAGGCAAAAUGUUUGUUUCUCCACAGCAUCUCUUUUUUAGAGACAGAAUAUAAAAGACAGAAGGAGAGGUUUCAAACAGCGGUAUUCGAGCUGUUCCCUGGCUUGAUUUUGGCUAUCCCGAGCUCUCUCUCUGCAGCCCACCCAGUCCACGCCACCCCUACCUUCGAACAAAAGGAAUGCAUGAAGGGUUUCAGUGACUUUGCCAUAACAAAGGCGCCACCAUUGCGGGGCUCGCCCCGCCCCUGGGUGAAGGCAAACAAAUUCUUGCACUUGUAUUAGGGCUUUUAAGACCAUAAUUGAACCCGGGGGCGUCUAGGAAAACCGAAAACAGUUCUAGACAGACCUGCGGUUUUAUAGCAGUUUUGGCAGUCAACUUCAGCUUGUGCCUGAGCAGACGGGGCUCUGGUGGCCUGCCAGCGGGGGAUGCCAGGCCACCUCCCCCAGCGGCACGCAGCCCCUCUCUUAAUUAGAUCGGUUUUCCCCUGGUGUCCGGGAGAGCGGUCCCGGCAGAAAGGUCGGUAUGGGGGUGUGCGCUGUUCCGCAUAACCACUGCCUCCCAUGUCCUCCUCGAGGGCCAAACCGAGAGGGGGCUGGCAGGGCUGGAUCCCACGGGUGUCCGCAGGAGACAAAGGCGAAUUCCGGAGAAAAGGCUGGGGCUGAGAAAGGCGCUCCGGGAGCGGCUGGCAGGGCAAUUCGGCAGGCUGCACCGAAGCCAGGAGGUCCAACAGCCGAGCUUAGCCCACCGGGCUCUGGGAAAGACCCGACUGAGGCUAAAGCCGCCCCGGAAGGCCAAGUCCGAGUUCCAUUUCUUGAAGAGGCCGGCGCGCGUAAGGCUGUGACAUUGGCCCUGGCGACUGGCUUCCCAGGAGCUGUUCUUUCUCAGGAGCUCCACAGCGCGGGCCAUCUCCAGAAAACUGUCUUCAGAGUGUAUUUCCUUUUAUCGUCAACCCAGAGCCCCACCGCGGCUAAUGCAAGAGGCCAAAAAAUGUUUGGAGGAAGAAAAACAAAGGCAGGAAGUGGCGGCCGCCUGACGGUGCGUGUGUGUCUGCAGAGAAGGGAGGGAGCCGGCUCAGUCUCUUCUUGUUUUUCCAAACUUCAAGGUCCAGGCAGCCCUCUGCAGGGCCGGGCCCCAUUGCUCCCCGCGCGGCAUUGGAGGUGGCCACCCGGAGAGGAGAAGGCCAACGCCUGCGCCAGGCUUGUCAGGCGGAAACGGCUAACAAGGAGAUUUGGUCAGCAAAACAGACCGAGCCUUUCCGAGGCUUCGUCUGACUUGGCCCGAAAGGUUGGGGAGGGGGGGCUUGCUCAGAGCCUCAGGGACCCUCCUCUCUGGGGACUACCAUCCCUGAGCCUUACGCUUCUUUCCACAGCCUUUGCAGGCGGAAUAUCGGAAUAAAGUGGGUCCAGGCGCC